rnacentral:rRNA from 1 species
GAUGAACGCUGGCGGCGUGCCUAACACAUGCAAGUCGAGCGAAGCACCUUACUUGAUUUCUUCGGGAUGAAAGUAUUGUGACUGAGCGGGCGACGGGUGAGUACGCGUGAUACUGCUCAUACAGGGGAUAACAGUUAGAAAUGACUGCUAAUACCGCAUAAGACCACAGCACCGCAUGGUGCAGGGGUAAAAAACUCCGGUGGUAUGAGAUGGAUCCGCGUCUGAUUAGGUAGUUGGUGGGGUAACGGCCUACCAAGCCGACGAUCAGUAGCCGACCUGAGAGGGUGACCGGCCACAUUGGGACUGAGCACGGCCAA